UCACUAGCCAAUCACAGGGCACAUAUAGACAAACAACCAUUCCCACUCACAUUCAUACCUAUGGACAAUUUGGAGUCGCCAAUUAACCUAGCAUGUUUUUGGAAUGUGGGAGGAAACCGCAAACUCCACCCAGAUGCCCAGACUGUGUGGCCAACAUGCUAACUAAUCGCCCACCGUGCGACCAUCGGCCGGCCGGAACCUUGCAACAACGAGUAGGUUCUACACGGUCACGUUGAGCUGAUGGACAAAAUGGAGAUCACAGGCGGCAGUGCUCAUUUUAGUUUUGUUUAUAUAUUUUUGCUAUAAUUUUCGUUUUUUGUAGCUAUGUGCUCAAAAGCAAUUUAACUGCACGUUUUAAUAUACGACAUCAAAUCACUUGAUAUAGGAUAUCACUUGGUACGGACGGCAAACUGGUAUAUAUUUAAUGCAGCAUGUCUGAAACUUUUUCUCCUGGCAAAGACCAACUUUGUAAUGAAGACGACAGCGUGAAAGAGGACGUCUGUCCAUGUGUCCUCCAACAAAAUGAUAGUGUCUCUACAAAACAUUUGACUCAGGAGGACAGCCUCUCCGGUGAGCAGACUUUGGUGUCCUCAUUCAAACAGAUGAAACUGGAGCGAGAAGCCCAGAAAAACUGGGACUUGUUUUACAAAAGGAACGCAACACAUUUCUUCAAAGACAGACACUGGACCAGCAGAGAGUUUGAGGAGCUCAGGGCGUGCAGAGAGUCCAAGUCCCAGAGGCUGGUUCUGCUUGAGGCUGGCUGCGGUGUGGGGAAUUGCAUCUUCCCUCUACUGGAGGACGAGGGCAACGUCUUCGUUUACGCUUGCGACUUUUCGCCGAGAGCUGUGGACUUUGUCAAAAAAAAUCCUCUUUGCAGUCCUGAACGCUGCACGGUCUUCCAGUGUGACCUCACCCAGGAUGACCUGCGGGACAACGUUCCUGAGGGAAGUGUGGACGUAGUCACGCUCAUCUUCGUGCUGUCGGCGAUCCAUCCUGCCAAGAUGACGCUGGCCUUGCGCAACAUCAGCACAGUGCUGAAACCUGGCGGUAUGGUUCUCUUCCGAGACUACGGUCUGCACGAUCACGCCAUGCUGAGGUUCAAAGCAAGCAGCAAACUGUCAGAGAACUUCUACGUGCGCCAGGAUGGAACCAGAUCAUACUUCUUCUCGAAAGACUUUUUGGCGGCGCUCUUCUCCGAAGCGGGCCUCGAGUGUGAGACCAACGAGUACAUUCUGAGAGAAACGGUCAACAAAAAGGAGGGACUUUGCGUCCCCAGAAUUUUCCUGCAGAGCAAGUUCAUCAAACCGGGCCUCCACCAGAACUCCUGACUGCAUCUGAUGCAGAACGUUCCAGAAGUGAGUGAAUGAAGUGAGUGAAUGAAAUGCAGAAAAAGGGGUACAUUUGCUAUCAUAGCCACACAAUUGUGCUAAUUCUGCUAAUUAUAUUUGAUUGUAGUCAAUGUUAUGCAAUGGCUAUAGUAGCCACAUGUCCACACCAUCCACAGGAUUUGUAAACAUUUCAGUUGGAAGCCACAAUCAGAAAAUGUAGUGGAUCUCUGCAAAAUUGUGAUUUGACAUUCACAGCUCAGCAUUUUUUGAUAAAAAGAAGAUAUUUGAAACAUUUUUAUUCAUAAAAUAAGCAAUAUUUUUAGGCAUAUGUGUAGUACUGUUCAAAAGCCAAUCAUUUUUACAUGUUUAUGUCUUUAUGCUUCACUGAUAAUGUUUUUUCCGGCAAAUCGUGUGAUUAACGCACCAUCAUUUUGUGCUGUGACUUGGCUACGGAAGCACUCAUUAGUCAGGAUGUCCUAUCUGAUAUUGAUAUCAGAUAACGGGCCGAUAUCAUCCAAAAAAAAUUGGUAUAUAAGUGAAUCAGCCCGCAUCUAACAUCUUAGAUACUGGAACUCGGAUACAAACGGUCCAGAUUCUGCCCAAUCACAUCUACCAAAUAGCGGCUUGUUUUUCCCCAACCCGUCCGAUCUCCAGAGGUGAUGCAAACUGCCUCUAGGACACCCAGCAAUGCAUUUUAUACUUUUAAAUAAAAUUAGAAUUGUGUGAGGCAUAUUUAGACCAUGGAUUAUUUUGCAAGUAAACAAUGGCAAUUGAACAGAGAAGGGAAUUGAAUCUAAUCUAAUACAUUUUUAUGGGUGCUGCAAUUACUUGCAUUUUUUUAACCAUUUGCUGGUGAUCCAGGGUCAUAACCACUGCAACAUGCAGGGAUCUAUUGUAAUAAAUAUAUAUAUUUUUGUUUAUUUGUUUUUUAUUGAACCCAAAACUCUCGUGACAAUGUCUAACUUGUUUUAAAGUAAAAUUGAGGAAUAGUUCCUCCUUGUUGUAUAUUCAUUGCAAAAUUAUAAUUUAAAUAUUGGAUUUUGUGGUCUUAUUAAUGCAAUUUUGAUAUUUAAUUUUGAUGUAUGCAUUAUAUAUGCUUGCGGUUGUGUUUCGCCUCUUCAGAAUGCCUUAAUAAAUUCCUCUAAAAUGCACUCUGCACAUGUAAUUAUGUGUAUUCGUGUUUAAAAAUCACAUACUUGGGUUUGAUUUGACCACAUAGAACCCAAAUGUGGGUCCAAGGUUGAGACCAUUUAAGAUCCCCUGCUCUAAAAUAUCUGUUCCAAUGGGUGUUAUGACUGAGGGUGGCCACCUUGGGGCGUUGUCGGGUGAUAUUUUGAACAUUGAAAGAGUGGACGCUUUUACAAAAUGAAUACAAAACAGCACAGGAGUUGCCAAGUCUGCUUUAUUUUCUCUAAAUAAAAAUCUAGACCACUGAAAAUACAAGUUAAUACUUAGUUACCGAUUACAUUGCGUUUCAUAAACAUGAGUCAACUUGUAAAGAUGCAAACUUGUAACCAUGGCUCUGUGUGGGUAUGUGUGAGAGAGACAUGAUUUAUACUUGAUGAUUUAUACUUACAGACAGGAAGUCAGAAGAUGCCAAAUGGUCAUGUGAGCAUUUCGUCAUGGAGGUUUCUCCCACUGUUACACAAUGCCACUCUGGUAUAUACGCAACAUGACACAACAAGCAAACACCCUCCAGGUUGUGUAUGUUAGAUCUCACCAGUUCCUGUUGUAGAGAUGUUUCAUACUGGUUAUCCCACAUACCAAUAUUGUCCAGUGCUACAUUAUAGAUAUCGAUAUGACCAAUACCAAUCUUGGUUGCAGCGCUUUCCUCAAACAGAUAAUGUGAAAUGACCACAUUAUGCGUUACAAGGCUGUCAAAAGUGACGUGUUAAUGGCGGUAACUAAUUUAAGUCAUUAUUUACGUUACAGGCACAUCACAGAGCCACAAUAUCAUCCCUGCAGAGUCUGCCACUCUUUAAUAACUUCUUUCUGACCUCAAAACAUUCACACUAUAUUACACUACUAUUCCAACACUAAAUAUGUCUCUAGUCCUCGGAUUAACACUUCCGUGUUGUCAUUAGACGACAACGGGGGGCACUUCUAUGUGGGACACACGUCCCAAUAAGAACAAAGUAUGGAACUCUGGACUAAUACAAUCAGUGAAAUUGUAAACUGGGCAUAUAUGGGUAUUUUUAUUUUGUAUUUGGUUUGCUUCUGCGGACAUACUGCGCUAGCAAGCUACUGCAUGUUGCUCUGUGGAGCGUGGUGCAUACCUCAGCAGAAAAACCAGUACAGAUAUGACCUGAUAUAGAAUUUUUAUGUCAGUAUCUGCCGAUAUUGUCGGACAUCCCUAGCUGGCUGUUCAGUAAAGUUGUCCUUGUUCAAUGGGCUUGUGGCAUCUUCAUUACUACAACCUCACCGUCUUCUAUCCUGAGAAAAAACUCAGAUGCAUCACAUGUCAAUAAGAAAGAAGAUGGCGAGAUGGGAGUUGACUAUUUUGAAGGUCUUGAAGACCUGACUUCAUUUUUGGCCGAGAUGAACCCAGCGGAAGUUUGACAUCACGCAAGGCGGAGACACUUCCCGUGGGCUUUCCUGUCGCUGGACACAGUAACACAUCCUGUUUUUCCACAACCUUCUGCCAGCACACUGGGCCAGGGUGGGGUCCUGCAGGACCUUCCAAGGCCUCAAAUGAAGGUGCUGAUGACAUCCGCUACAUGUAAGUGAUAUAAGCGUCCUGAUAAGAUGGUGACAAUCAAGAAAAAGAAUUCAGUUGAUUGGGUCAGUGGAGCGUGAACGACGAGAGCAUUAGUUUCCACUUAAACUGAUAUUCAAAGAAAUGCAUAGAUAAAAGCAUAAAUCUAAUUUUUUCCGCUCUGAUUAGCUUGUAGAACAGACAAGUCAAGUUGCUCCACAUUGAUAUCAUCAACAAAAGCGACAUAAACAUGCUGUAUGUAGGCAUGUAAUCAAAUCCUAGAAAAUGAAGUCCUAGAAAGGGACAAUGUGUGUGUGUCAUUCAGACAAUUUCAAUAAAACUAAUUUGCUAACUGGAUUACUUUUCGUUCCUCAAAGGCCAACAAAUCAAGCACUUAUUGAAUUAGACGAGAUGGGAAAUCCAGUGGAAAGUCAAUGUAUGUAUGCCAUCGAAAUAAAACCUCCUUAGUUUGUUAUGUUGCUGACAAAGUAAAUGAGUGUAGUUCUAAUAAUAACAUGAUAUAUAGUAUCUCAUUUUAGUUUUACAUGAUGCAGAGGGCCACCAAACAUGCUGUGGGCCUGGAAUGGCACCUGAGCCGCACUUAGUGUAACCCUUUACAUCAUAAUAAAUACGUG